rnacentral:lncRNA from 1 species
GGGGAUCAAAAUUACCUACUGGUAAAUAAUUUCACUAAUAUAAUGGAACAAAUGUACCAAAUUUCAAAUCCUAAAUUAUCGAUUCAGCGUUUAUUUGGUUGGAUUUUGAUAAUUGAGAGAGUGAAACCUUAAGAAAGAAAUGAGAUUGAAAGAAAGGUGGAUUUUCCGGCCAAAUUCAGCCGGAAAUCUCGAACUUGACAAAUCUUUUAUGGUUCCGGCAACCAGCUAUAUGGACAAAUCACCGGCAAAUUUGUUCUCCGGCGGCGUACAGAGAAACAUCUCGAACCUCUUUGAGCUCAAUCUCUCUUACAAUCACUUCUCCGGAAAAAUUCCGGCGAGUCUCCGGUGGGCUUCACCAACUUCACUAUCUUCAGCUUGAAUGGUCGAGAAAAAGUGAAAAAAGAAAUUAGGUUCUAUGCACUGACUAUUUGCACAAUCAGGUAAUUGAAGAUAUUCUAUUUAAUAGCAUUAAUUGGAAUAAAUGAUAAGUAAUUUGCUAUAACGUAAUUGAAACCAUUACCGUGUAUAUAUAACUUUAAUUGCGAGACCACGCUCUUAAAAUCAGUUUCAGAACAAAAUUAGACGCAAACUCUG